rnacentral:lncRNA from 1 species
AUUCCUCUGUAAGGAGACCAUUUUCCCCUCCAGUUCAUUGGAAACAAGUCUUCUACUCCCAUCUGUGCCCAUAAAGCAAACUGGACUGCUGCUUGGGUGGGAGACCUACAGAGCAUUAUGGUUGCUAUCGGCGGUGGAACUAAAGGUGGCAUUUUUAUUCCUUGAAUCAACAGUCAGCCAACACCCUCACCUGGUAUUCAAGGUUGCGUGAGGAUGCUGGUGCCCUCUGCGAGGCCUGGAAUUAACGGUGAGAGUUUCUCAUGCACCUUUCCUGCAUUGUUUGAACAUGUCAUAGAAAUCUCGGAUUCAAUCUACUUUACUUUCCUGGAAGAGAAAGUCUGAGCUAAAUCCUGCAGUGUGUUGACUGUCUUUAACUCCUGCUGUCAAAUGGAGAUCCCAAAGGAAGAGUUGGUGAAGAAGAAUAAGAAGAAUGUGCCACCUCUGGAGCCCCUGGAGCUGAGGAAUUACUUUUGGAGCAACCUGCAGAAUACGCUGAGCACUGUUAAGAGCAUGGAGCAGAAGAGAGAAAAAUCGAGGCAUUUAAAGCAGAUGAUGGAUCGAUGCAGAUGGGGAACUGUUGGACCUGUCUGUUCUCCACGAAAGCCAAGUUUUCUCCCAGCAUCUCUGGGAAAAUUCACUUAG